GACGAACGCUGGCGGCGUGCUUAACACAUGCAAGUCGAACGGAAAGGCCCUGCUUUCGUGGGGUGCUCGAGUGGCGAACGGGUGUGUAACACGUGAGUCACCUGCCCUUGACUUUGGGAUAUCUUCAGGAAACUGGGGCUAAUACCGGAUAGGAGCUCCUGCUGCAGGGUGGGGGUUGGAAAGUUUCGGCGGGUGGGGAUGGACUCGCGGCUUAUCAGCUUGUUGGUGGGGUAGUGGCUUAGGAAGGCUUUGACGGAUAGCCGGCCUGGGAGGGUGGCCGGCCACAUUGGGCCUGCGAGACGGCCCAGACUCCUACGGGAGGCAGCAGUGGGGAGUAUUACACAGUGGUCGGGAGCCUGAUGCGGCAACGCCGCGUGCGGGAUGACGGCCUUCGGGUUGUAAACCGCAUUCGCCUGUGACGAAGCGUGAGUGACGGUAAUGGGUAAAGAAGCACCGGCUAACUACGUG
rnacentral:rRNA from 1 species